rnacentral:lncRNA from 13 species
CUCUGGUUCUGUAGUACUCAAGGACAUGUCAGACCCUGGUCACCGCAACACACAUACUGCCUCAGGCAGUUGCGAGAUGAAGGGGGUCUUUGGGAUGGGGAAACCAAGAGACCCUACAACCUGGUUGAGAGGUGUCAGCCCCCAGCAGCAUCCCACUCCAGGCAGAUACCAGCUCCAGUUUCCCAUCCUGCAGCAGCAGAAGUUCCAGUCCCUCUGUUGGUCCAGAGCCACACCCUCCACCAGGUCAGUGAGCUGCAUACCACAAAAUCACGGACUGGAUGAUAGGGUAACUCAGGUUGUGGAGUUUAGAGAGAAAGAUUACUGCUAUUCGUGGCUUAAGCUAUGAGAGACAACAGUGUAGUUCUGGUUGCCUUGGGACUAUUCAGCCC